rnacentral:lncRNA from 1 species
GCUCAUCUACUAUUGUGGCAUGUCUUUGGUUUGCUUGAUUCUAUAUUAGUGGCUAUCUUCAUUGUGUUUCCCUACAGUGUUUGAUAAUGUUUGUCUUAGUAAUGAAUUGGCGUGUCUACUUUCUUGUGUUGUGAUGGAUAUUCAGUAUAAUUUGGACCCUUAGGAUUUAAAACCCUUUAUGUUAGUGCUCUAUUUAGACUCAUUUGGUAUUAUGCACCUUUGUAGGCUAAUCUUGUA